rnacentral:snRNA from 1 species
GUGCUUGCUUUGUCAGUAUAUAUACUAAAGGUGGAAUGAUAAAGAGAAGAUCAACAUGACCCCUGCACAAGGAUGACUAAAAGUUCAUGAAGCAUUUCAUAUUUUU